rnacentral:rRNA from 1 species
AUUGAACGCUGGCGGCAGGCUUAACACAUGAAAGUCGAGCGAGCGGCGGACGGGUGAGUAAUGUCUGGGAAGCUGCCUGUUGGACGGGGAUAACUACUGGAAACGGUCGCUAAUACCGCAUACCAUCAGAUGUGCCCAGAUGGGAUUAGAUAGUAGGUGGGGUAAUGGCUCACCUAGGCGACGAUCCCUCGCUGGUCCGAGAGGAUGACCAGCCACAAUGGAACUGAGCAACGGUCCAGAAUGCUACGAGAGGCAGCCGUGGGGAAAAUUGCACAAUGGGCGCAAGCCUGAUGCAGCCAUGCCGCGUGUGUGAAGAAGGCCUUCGGGUUGUAAAGCACUUUCAGCGAGGAGGCGUUACUCGCAGAAGAAGCACCGGCUAACUCCGUGCCAGCAGCCGCGGUAAUAC